UAACCUAAUAUCACAAAUAUUUUAUCAUAAUUUUGAAAUCCAUAAUUAUGUCACUGUAACGUUGCACUAAAACUACGAAUGUAUAAAAAGACGUGGCAUGGCGGUCUUGUAUCUUUUUAAAGCAUAAAUGGCGGGGAAAAUAGUGAUUUUGGCGCUGGCGUUAUCAAUUUGCAAGGUCCAAUCACAAUCAACUGGUUGCUUUUCGCCGUCAUCAAACAUUAAUGGAUUUAAAGCAUCGCCACAGCUCCAGUUUGUACCAGCGCAAAAUUUUAAC